rnacentral:sRNA from 1 species
AUUUUCAAAGCAGAGAAAACCAGCCCAUUGAAAAUAUCCUGCCAAGUCAUUCGGGGAUUUGUGGCAGAAACUCCAGUCUUGUGUCUGGACAUGGACCAUUUCUGGGGAAAACUGAGACCUUUGCUAAAAGGAAGAGGGGAAAGCGGGGGCGCACAUAUCCAGUGAUAUUUUCUCAUCUGGUACUUUGUAGAAACCUUGCUCCCAGUAUGUACCUAAUUAAGGCUCCACAGCCCUACGAGGCCCCAAGAGAGAGUGGUUACAUCAGUGCAGUCCUCAGCAGAACCGAGGAAAGAGCUUCAUCGUCCAAAACUGAGGAAAUGCCCAGAUUAACACAGAGGGUUUCUGUGUCUCCUGAAUACCUUCUUCUUCCCCCACGCCACGGUGGGUGUGACAAGAUCAGCUGGCUUCCAGAAGGCAAGGUGUUCAGUAAUGUUCAAAGAGAGAAGAUUAUCUCCAAGUUUCUAAAGAAAGUGUUCCGUUCACAACAAAUGAGGUGGUAGGGGUCUGACAACCAGAAAGGGACUUCAAGUUACACCUUUCCUGGCACCAGAAAAACUAUUUGGAAAUUCCAGUGGAGCAAAUGAUGCUAGAACCUAAUUUGCCGGUGCAUAGUCAAAAAAGUACAAAGAAUAGUAAACAAGGGAUCUUUCAAUUAUGGAAUUGUCCUCUUAAUGAAGGAAGUACCAUAGAGAAGAGGGAAUUCAAAAAAUCUUCAGUGGAAACUGGCUUUAAUGUAAUCAAUAAUCCUAUAAGAGCCUUCACCCUGAACCACCCAUUAACAAUUGCUUUAGUUGAUAAGCAAGCUGGUCCUUACCCUGGACUGCCAGUGCCAUUAGGUCUUUGCUGGCCCUAUGCUGAUGGAGACUUUUUUAAGAACAGAAAUGAGAUUCGUAUUAGUUCAUGUUCAACUAUAGAAAACAACGAUGGUGAAAUGUUACCUGCUCCAAACUGGAAUUUGAAACAUGGAAACAGCAGUGUGGAAGAAAAUGUAACAGAUGAAAGUGAUUUAUCAGAAAAUGAGAAGGCAAAUGAUACUUUACUCAGCUAUUUUAAAAAGGUGGACCUGAACUUGAAGCCAGAAACAAUAAAAAAUGUUGAGGAACCUUUCACCGAGGAGCCAAAUGAAGUAUUUCCAUAUCCUGAUUUUCUCCCUCCUCCUUUCAGUACUCUAGACUUGCACAAUUUAGCCCUCUCCAAAUCUGACAAUUGGAAAGCAACAGUGGAACCUGUAGAAACCUCUGUUGAACACUUGAUAACUCGUUUACUGGAACUAGAACGAUUACAACAUAUGACUAUUCAAAAAGAGAGGCCAAGACUACAAACGACUUUCUGUACUCCAGCAGGUUCUCAACGACCCUCUUCCUCCACAGCUACACCACACGUGAGACCAAAACUUUGUGACUCUUUGAGUCUUCAGAUACCUUGUGUAGAUGAAAGUCAAGAAAAAAGUAAAAACAACUCUGGUUCUUGUAAGCUUGAGCAAAAUGCUUUAAAACGGAAUUGGAGCAAUGCUGGCAAAUAUAAAUGGAAUUCUAGACCACCGUCUCUAAAAAGUUCUUCCACCACAAAACAAUUGAUUGAAACUUAUGAUAAGAAUCCCAAAAGUUCUAUUUUAAAUCCAUGCCAAGAACUCUCAUCCAAGCCUACUAUUGGCCAAACAAAUCAAUCACUGGUUAAAAUGGUCUCCACAAGAUGUCUGCCAUCGAGGUCUCCAAUGCCAGUUUCACCUAUACCUCUGUCUUUUCCCGAAAAUCAGAAGGAAGAAAUUAAGGCACCAAAGAGAAACUUUGGGACCAAAAAGAAACUUUACCGACAAAAUAUAGUGUUGAAUAGACCGUUCUCUAUUCAGAAGCUAAACUGUUUGUCGCCUUCCCUUAUUGCUAAGGAUAAGUGCUGCUCACCUACUGAACAAAAAUAACUCUUUUCUUUCAUACAUCUCAAUGUGAACAGAUCUAUUCUAAGAAGCCCAACUAAGAUAUGGUUAAUUAUUCCAAGACACAGGUACUAUUAACAGUCCCCCAAAAUCACCAAACAGUUGCUUGAUGUGAUAUGGAGUGGAACUUGUGAAAAGCACUGCUGAGAUGUCUAUAUAUAAACCCCCAGGCUUCUAUACUGACGUAUUUCACAAUCUUUUGCAUGUUGUGUUUCAAAUAAAUGGUUCACUUAGUAGACUAUUCUAUUCAAAAGGCUAUUCUUUUUUCAGUGAUUGUUUUCCAGUAUAAUUCCAUCAAUAAAUGCUAUAAUUGA